rnacentral:rRNA from 1 species
CAAUAGCGUAUAUUUAAGUUGCUGCAGUUAAAAAGCUCGUAGUUGGAUUUCGGGUGGGAAUGGCCGGUCCGCCGUUUCGGUGUGCACUUGCUACGCCCACCUUGCUGCCGGGGACGUGCCCUUGAGUUCACGCUCGGGACACGGAGUCGGCGAGGUUACUUUGAGUAAAUUAGAGUGUUCAAAGCAGGCCUACGCUCUGAAUACAUUAGCAUGGAAUAACACGAUAGGACUCUGGCCUAUCUUGUUGGUCUGUAGGACCGGAGUAAUGAUUAAGAGGGACAGUCGGGGGCAUUCGUAUUUCAUUGUCAGAGGUGAAAUUCUUGGAUUUAUGAAAGACGGACUACUGCGAAAGCAUUUGCCAAGGAUGUUUUCAUUAA